rnacentral:rRNA from 1 species
AACGAACGCUGGCGGCAGGCUUAACACAUGCAAGUCGAACGCAUCCUUCGGGGUGAGUGGCAGACGGGUGAGUAACGCGUGGGAACGUGCCCUUCAGUUCGGGAUAACCCAGGGAAACUUGGGCUAAUACCGGAUACGUGCGAGAGCAGAAAGAUUUAUCGCUGAAGGAUCGGCCCGGGUCUGAUUAGCUAGUUGGUGGGGUAAUGGCCCACCAAGGCGACGAUCAGUAGCUGGUCUGAGAGGAUGAUCAGCCACAUUGGGACUGAGACACGGCCCAAACUCCUACGUGAGGCAGCAGUGGGAAAUAUUGGACAAUGGGCGCAAGCCUGAUCCAGCCAUGCCGCGUGAGUGAUGAAGGCCUUAGGGUUGUAAAGCUCUUUCGUCCGGGACGAUAAUGACGGUACCGGAAGAAGAAGCCCCGGCUAACUUCGUGCCAGCCGCCGCCGUAA